rnacentral:rRNA from 1 species
CCUACGGGAGGCAGCAGUAGGGAAUAUUGCUCAAUGGGGGAAACCCUGAAGCAGCAACGCCGCGUGGAGGAUGAAGGUUUUAGGAUUGUAAACCCCUUUUGUUAGAGAAGAUUAUGACGGUAUCUAACGAAUAAGCACCGGCUAACUCCGUGCCAGCAGCCGCGGUAAUACGGAGGGUGCAAGCGUUACUCGGAAUCACUGGGCGUAAAGAGUGCGUAGGCGGGGUAAUAAGUCUGAUGUGAAAUCCUGUAGCUUAACUACAGAACUGCAUUUGAAACUGUUACUCUGGAGUGUGGGAGAGGUAAGUGGAAUUCUUAGUGUAGCGGUGAAAUGCGUAGAGAUCAAGAGGAAUACUCGUUGCGAAGGCGACCUGCUGGAACAUUACUGACGCUGAUGCACGAAAGCGUGGGGAGCAAACAGGAUUAGAUACCCUAGUAGUC